GCAGAACGCGAAGAACCUUACCUGGCCUUGACAUCCAUGGAAUCCCGAAGAGAUUUGGGAGUGCCGCAAGGAACCAUGAGACAGGUGCUGCAUGGCUGUCGUCAGCUCGUGUCGUGAGAUGUUGGGUUAAGUCCCGCAACGAGCGCAACCCUUGUCCUUAGUUGCCAUCAUUAAGUUGGGAACUCUAAGGAGACCGCCGGUGACAAACCGGAGGAAGGUGGGGAUGACGUCAAGUCAUCAUGGCCUUUAUGGCCAGGGCUACACACGUGCUACAAUGGCAGGUACAGAGGGAAGCCAACCGGCGACGGGGAGCUAAUCCCAGAAAGCCUGUCUUAGUCCGGAUUGCAGUCUGCAACUCGACUGCAUGAAGUUGGAAUCGCUAGUAAUCGCAGAUCAGCAUUGCUGCGGUGAAUACGUUCCCGGGUCUUGUACACACCG
rnacentral:rRNA from 1 species